UGCUGCUCCUACCAGGAAGUUCCUUUAUAAAAAGCAUAGUACGCAUGCGCUAAAUCCUUUUCUUCCCAAAAGUGGAAUGAGCUGGUCGCACGUUCUGCGCGCUGCAGUAUAACUUGAGAAGAGGCAGAUGAUGGCUGCAUUCAGUGGAAAGGAUCGCUUCAAGGGUCCAAGGAUUCCACUAGAAAAGGGUGACCUGAGAAGUGCAGAUCAUUGAAGACUGAUCAAAGGACUGAAACUAGAAAAUGGUGACAUGAGAAGUGCAUGAAGGAAGAUGAAGACUGGUUACUUGUACACUGAAAAUGGUGACAUGAGAAGUGCAUGAAGAUGAAGACUGGUUACUGAUCAAAGGACUGAAACUAGAAAAUGGUGACAUGAGAAGUGCAUGAAGGAAGAUGAAGACUGGUUACUUGUACACUGGCUGCGUAGGUGUGCACAAAAUGCAAGAUCUGCUUGCGGAAUUCUUCCAAUCUAAGGUCCCGUUGGUGCAAGGAGUCCAGGUCAUGGAGAGCACAGGGAAACACUGCAUCGGGUGGAAAAACAAGCGCAGAGCCUCCUGCAUUCCCAAGAAAAACUUUUUUUUCAUUCCCAAACACUCAAAACACACACACUGUAACAGGAGCUUGAGGCUAACUAUACACUAGUAAUGAAGUGCUAAAAGGUGAAUGGGUUGUGAUCAAAUGCACAAUGAAAUUUCUCAAUCCUGAUUGUUUCUUUACUGAAUAUCAUUUUAGAAUGACAGUGGAUUUCAAAAAUGUUGUUUUUGUACUUGUAUUUCAGAAAGAAAUAAAAUGAGAAAACUAA